AGUAUGAAAGUGGUAGGUUAGCGGCGGGAGCGUUUCCGAGCCUGUUUUGGUGAUUUUGAAAACCCGGUUCGGUAGUUUUUUGUAUUGUUGAUCCUUUAGUAUUUAUUAAGUGUUGUUGCUGCCCGAGCACUUGUUUUGGUGCGUUUGGGGACAGCGGUUAGUUACAGUAGGGAUUGGGGAUUUUCGAAGCAAUUUGUGGAUUCCAGAGGCGUUCUGAAAGUUCCGAAAGUUUCGGUGGUGAUUUU
rnacentral:lncRNA from 1 species